rnacentral:tRNA from 2 species
GCAGGGGUGGGAGAGUGGUUAAAUCCAGCAGACUGUAAAUCUGCCGCCGUACGGCUACGUAGGUUCGAAUCCUACCCCCUGCACCA